GAUGAACGCUAGCGGCAGGCCUAAUACAUGCAAGUCGGACGGGAUUCAGGAGCUUGCUUCUGAUGAGAGUGGCGCACGGGUGCGUAACACGUAUGUAACCUACCUUUAUCAGGGGGAUAGCCUCUCGAAAGAGAGAUUAAGCCCGCAUAAAAUCACAGCACAGCAUUGUGUAAUGAUCAAAUAUUUAUAGGAUAAAGAUGGGCAUGCGGAACAUUAGCUAGAUGGCGGGGUAACGGCCCACCAUGGCGACGAUGUUUAGGGGAUCUGAGAGGAUGGCCCCCCACACUGGUACUGAGACACGGACCAGACUCCUACGGGAGGCAGCAGUAAGGAAUAUUGGUCGAUGGGCGGAAGCCUGAACCAGCCAUGCCGCGUGCAGGAAGACGGCCCUACGGGUUGUAAACUGCUUUUAUACGGGAAUAAACCCAGAUACGUGUAUCUGGCUGAAUGUACUGUAAGAAUAAGGAUCGGCUAACUCCGUG
rnacentral:rRNA from 1 species